AGUGAACGCUGGCGGUAGGCCUAACACAUGCAAGUCGAACGGCAGCACAGUAAGAGCUUGCUCUUACGGGUGGCGAGUGGCGGACGGGUGAGGAAUACAUCGGAAUCUACUUUUUCGUGGGGGAUAACGUAGGGAAACUUACGCUAAUACCGCAUACGCCCUACGGGUGAAAGCAGGGGAUCUUCGGACCUUGCGCGAUUGAAUGAGCCGAUGUCGGAUCAGCUAGUUGGCGGGGUAAAGGCCCACCAAGGCGACGAUCCGUAGCUGGUCUGAGAGGAUGAUCAGCCACACUGGAACUGAGACACGGUCCAGACUCCUACGGGAGGCAGCAGUGGGGAAUAUUGGACAAUGGGCGCAAGCCUGAUCCAGCCAUACCGCGUGGGUGAAGAAGGCCUUCGGGUUGUAAAGCCCUUUUGUUGGGAAAGAAAAGCAGCAGGUUAAUACCCCGCUGUUCUGACGGUACCCAAAGAAUAAGCACCGGCUAACUUCGUG
rnacentral:rRNA from 1 species